rnacentral:rRNA from 1 species
UAAAGUUGUUGCGGUUAAAAAGCUCGUAGUCGGAGGUGUGUCUCGGACGGUCGGUUCGCCGCUUGUCGGUGCUCAACUGGCCGGUCCGGACGUCCUGCCGGUGGGGCCGCAAGGCCCCGUCAUCCUUCUUUGGUCCUCUUCACCGAGUGCCUUGGUGGGCCGGCACGUUUACUUUGAACAAAUUAGAGUGCUCAAAGCAGGCCGUUGGUCGCCUGAAUACUGUGUGCAUGGAAUAAUGGAAUAGGACCUCGGUUCCAUUUUGUUGGUUUUCAGAACUCGAGGUAAUGAUUAAUAGGGACGGACGGGGGCAUUCGUAUUGCGACGUUAGAGGUGAAAUUCUUGGAUCGUCGCAAGACGAACCGAUGCGAAAGCAUUUGCCAAGAACGUUUUCGUUGAUCAAGAACGAAAGUUAGAGGUUCGAAGGCGAUCAGAUACCGCCCUAGUUCUAACCAUAAACGAUGCCAGCUAGCCAUCCGCCGAAGUUCCUUCUAUGACUCGGCGGGCAGCUUCCGGGAAACCAAAGCUCUUGGGUUCCGGGGGAAGUAUGGUUGCAAAGCUCAAACUUAAAGGAAUUGACGGAA